rnacentral:rRNA from 1 species
AGCGAACGCUGGCGGCGUGCCUAACACAUGCAAGUCGAACGUGAAAGGGAGCAAUCCCAAGUAAAGUGGCGUACGGGUGAGUAACACGUAGGUAAUCUACCCCAGAAUCUGGAAUAACCGGCCGAAAGGCUGGCUAAUACUGGAUAGAGCGACGGAAUCCGUAAUUGGGUUUUUCGGGAAAGGGAGCCUGUAAAAAGGCCUUCGUUCUGGGAUGAGCCUGCGUCCCAUCAGCUAGUUGGGGAGGUAAAAGCUUACCAAGGCAAUGACGGGUAGCUGGUCUGAGAGGACGAUCAGCCACACUGGAACUGAAACACGGUCCAGACUCCUACGGGAGGCAGCAGUGGGGAAUCUUGCGCAAUGGACGAAAGUCUGACGCAGCAACGCCGCGUGAGUGAAGAAGGCCUUCGGGUUGUAAAGCUCUGUCGAGUGGGACGAAAAUGCUUGGAGUUCACAGCUCCAGGAACUGACGGUACCACUAAAGGAAGCACCGGCUAACUCCGUG